rnacentral:misc_RNA from 1 species
GAUGAAGAACGCAGCGAAAUGCGAUACGUAAUGUGAAUUGCAGAAUUCAGUGAAUCAUCGAGUCUUUGAACGCACAUUGCGCCCCCUGGUAUUCCGGGGGGCAUGCCUGUCCUAGCGUCAUUGCUGCCCUCAAGCACGGCUUGUGUGUUGGGCCUCCGUCCUCCUCCCGGGGGACGGGCCCGAAAGGCAGCGGCGGCACCGCGUCCGGUCCUCGAGCGUAUGGGGCUUCGUCACCCGCUCUUGUAGGCCCGGCCGGCGCUUGCCGACACAUCAAUCUUUUUUCCAGGUUGACCUCGGAUCAGGUAGGGAUACCCGCUGAACUUAAGCAUAUCAAUAAGCGGAGGA